GAAAUGCGAUAAUUAAUGUGAAUUGCAGAAUUCAGUGAAUCAUCGAGUCUUUGAACGCACAUUGCGCCCCCUAGUAUUCCGGGGGGCAUGCCUGUCCGAGCGUCAUUGCUGCCCUCAAGCACGGCUUGUGUGUUGGGCUUCCGUCCCUGGCAACGGGGACGGGCCCAAAAGGCAGUGGCGGCACCAUGUCUGGUCCUCGAGCGUAUGGGGCUUUGUCACCCGCUCCCGUAGGUCCAGCUGGCAGCUAGCCUCGCAACCAAUCUUUUUAACCAGGUUGACCUCGGAUCAGGUAGGGAUACCCGCUGAACUUAAGC
rnacentral:misc_RNA from 1 species